ensembl:lncRNA
GUGUGUGCGUGUGUGUGUGUGUCUGUGUGUGUGUGUGUGUAUUUGCUCUUUCUACACAACAGAUAGGUAAGAAGCGCAUAGCAAGAGGCAAUUUCAAAUAAAAAAAACAGUAACUCAUAAAUAUUUUUUUUUGUGCCAUAGACAAACUACGAUCUGUAUGCGGCAGCAGAGAAAUAAUAAGAACCUGAAGUAAACACUCUUUUUAUCUGUGCGCUUAAUUUGUGUGGGGAGGUCCUCAAAAAAAAAAAAAAAAGAUAACGCAUCGACCACUUCAACAUUCACACUGACCCCCCCUCAACACAGUACACAUGCUGCAGUGACCACAGACACAAACACACACACACACACACACACACACACACACACACACACACAUUAUAGUGCCAUCACCUCACUGCAAGCCUUCCUCUGUCUAUCUCUUUCUCACUCUCUCGUUCUCACUACCUCUCUCUCUCUCUCUGUUCACACCUGACAUUAACAUCCGUCUUUGUUGAUCCAAAUCACAAGUGGACAGCUCUAUGUACAGGUGUGAAUGCACCCAAGACGCAUUGAGAUCCGAUCGCUCAGACCACAUCUGGGAGGUGACCCGAUCACAAGUGGUCCCUCGAGAAGAACGUGGAUAGGCAUUCUAAUGCCAGGUGUGAACUGACGUAUGUAGAGCUGUCUGCUUGUGAUCGGAUCACCCAUGGCGCAUGUUAAUGCCAGUUGUGAACAGCUUCUCUCUUUCUCUGAGGAAUGAGGGACUCAUUAAGAGUAAUACCUGUUCUGUGUUCUGAGACCACUGACAGUGUUUGGCAGGGGCAGGGGCAGGGGCAGGGGCAGGGAACCGGGGAGAUCCUCAGCCGGAACUUUCUUUUGCACAAUAAGAGCCCUAAUUAACCAGAGCUUUUUUUUUUUUUUUUUGUAGCACCAGGUAAGGGACAAAAGAGCCCCCCCCCCCAAUCACACACACACACACACACCUCUCUCUCUCCCCUCGCCUCGGGCGGCCCUCAUACAGACAGCGUGUUAACAGACUGCCCACUGCACUCAGAAGUUUUCCACAGCCACGAACAAGAGCUGGGGCUAAAUGCCAUCAAAGCUGUCGAUCAGCCCAUCUGUAUGCAUGGAACAUACUUCAUACCCUCUGUCUGUCUGUCUGUCUGUCUGUCUGUCUGUCUGUCUGUCUGUCUGUCUGUCUG